GAUUAACGCUGGCGGCGUGCAUAACACAUGCAAGUCGAACGAUGAAACUUAGUCGACUUCUUCGGAAAGACACUAAGCGGAUUAGUGGCGAACGGGUGAGUAACGCGUGAGUAACCUGCCUUACACAAGGGGAUAGCCUUUGGAAACGAAGAAUAAUACCCUAUAAAACCAUAAAAGCACAUGCUAGAAUGGUCAAAGUGAUAGCGGUGUAAGAUGGACUUGCGUCUGAUUAGCUAGUUGGUGAGAUAAAAGCUCACCAAGGCAACGAUCAGUAGCCGGCUUGAGAGAGUGUACGGCCACAUUGGGACUGAGACACGGCCCAGACUCCUACGGGAGGCAGCAGUGGGGAAUUUUGCACAAUGGGGGAAACCCUGAUGCAGCGACGCCGCGUGAUUUAGAAGGCCUUUGGGUUGUAAAAAUCUUUUGUAUAGGAAGAAAAUGACAGUACUAUACGAAUAAGGUCCGGCUAAUUACGUG
rnacentral:rRNA from 1 species